ACCCAGCCAACACCAGGGGCCCCUGACAGGGGUCUCGAUAAGGGGGUGUGGGGGUGUGUGAGACCCCCACACAAAGAAACGGGGG
rfam:Felis catus isolate Cinnamon breed Abyssinian chromosome E2, whole genome shotgun sequence.